GCCUUCUGAAGUGGUAAGGUGUUACUGUGUAGAGGCAGACACCUGAAGCCUUCUGAAGAGUUGAAGUACACCAGAACAGGAGUCUUUGAGAAACAGUGAAAAGGUGGUGAUUUAUUACUGUGGUGAAACAGGCAGAAGUCCAGUCUGCAAUACUUCUUGUACAGGAAUUCGUAAUGGGAAAAAAUCCCAGCAUGACAUCCAUUUAACUGGAUACACAGAGAAUUUUUAAGAAACCUGCACUCAGCCUACCAAGAUGACUGGUGCUGUCUCCUGGAACAAAAUGGGUAUAAUUCUUGAACAACUGGCCAACCUCUAACAUGGGAUACAAAAGUGUUUAAUUGUUGGAAAUCUGUCCACUCAAUUCCAAAGACUAGAAAUAAUGGCAUCAAGUUUUCCACAGGGGAAACCUUAUUUCCUUUUCCAAAAGCUCAUAGUCCCUUGAAGCAGGAAGUUGCCGGAACAACAGAGUAAUUUAUUCCAUCCCUCUCUUAAGUUUAGCACACUCUCCAUCAUAAAUCUGGCCACAUCUGUUGGCUGGCACACAGGGACUUUUUCUCAGCCUGAAAAAUGCCAGCUCUUGUGCAGGUAUAUGAAGCAUGCUGUCUUUUCUCUCUACUACUGUGCCUGUAGUCACAACCCCCAGGAGCCAGCUAAAUGGACGAUAUUUCCUGCUGUUUUCAUGUAUGGAAGCAUGUGACUUAAAGAGAUAAGCAAACUUUCACAAUACUUUUCUAACAAAAUACCCUGGUGUUUUUAAGUGUUGCACUUUGGGCAACUAUGCUGCCAUUUUUCUUCCCGAAUUUAAACAAGUAAUCACAUUUGUGACUGUAAGAUGAUAUUUGAGAAGAGGGAAUGUUCUAUGCAGCAGCCAGCUAAGCUGCUCACACCUUUAUUUCAAGUGGGAGAAGAGCUAUUUUCCAGCUUGUGACUGAAUUUCCAGUCGCACUGCCAGUGAUUCCCAUUUCUGAAUCAUCUUUGUCAGGAAAAGACUUCAUUUGCUGAAUCAAUUUGUACUGCUCUAAAUCUAUAUUGAGUACUGUUCAAGCAGGCAGCAUUAUUAUAUACAUUCCUUUGCAAUUAGCUGAAAUGUGGAGGCUAUCACAUUUAUAAGGAAAAAAGUACAAUAAUUUCUUCUUAACAAAUCAAUUAAUUUGUCGAAAAAUGAAGGAGCAUCAUGAUGUUUCUUUGGAUUUUGCCAUCUACCUGUUCUUUAC